rnacentral:tRNA from 1 species
GCUCGGAUGGUGGAAUUGGUAGACACGUUGGACUUAAAAUCCAAUGGCCAUUGUGGCCGUGCGGGUUCAAGUCCCGCUCCGAGUACAA